AUACGGAGGGUGCAAGCGUUACUCGGAAUCACUGGGCGUAAAGCGCGCGCGGGCGGCUUGAUAAGUUGGAUGUGAAAGCCUACGGCUCAACCGUAGAACUGCAUCCAAAACUGUCAGGCUAGAGUGUGGGAGAGGAAGAUGGAAUUAGUUGUGUAGGGGUAAAAUCCGUAGAGAUAGCUAGGAAUACCAAAAGCGAAGGCAAUCUUCUGGAACACUACUGACGCUGAGGCGCGAAGGCGUGGGGAGCAAACAGGAUUAGAAACCCGGGUAGUCC
rnacentral:rRNA from 1 species